UAGGAGAAGUAGUGCGCAGGCGCCUAGCGCGCGGGCGGACGGGGGAGGGAUGCGGAGGACGCGAAGGCUCGCGGUUUGUUUGGGUCGCGGACGGUGCGCGGGAAAAGCGGGGAAUGGCGGCGCCGAGCGCGGCCUCCGGACCUGCCCUCCAGCAGAAGGGGCUGAUGGCCGCUGAUCGGGGUCGCAGGAUGUUGGGGGUGUGUGGCAUGCAUCCUGACCAUCAGGAAGCUCUAAAAAAGAACCGAGUGGUCCUGGCCAAACAGCUGCUGCUGAGCGAACUGUUAGAACACCUCCUGGAGAAGGACAUUAUCACCUUGGAAAUGAGGGAGCACAUUCAGGCCAAGGUGGGCAGUUUCAGCCAGAAUGUGGAACUUCUGAACCUGCUGCCCAAGAGGGGCCCGCAGGCUUUUGACGCCUUCUGUGUGGCCUUGAGGGAAACCAAGCAGGAUCACCUGGAGGAGCUGUUGCUUGAAACCCUGUCUGGUCUUCAGCAUGCACACCCACCAGUAUGGAGUCCUAGACACGUGCUGAGCUGCGACUACAACUUGAGUCUCCCUUUCCCGGUGCGUGAGUCCUGUCCCCCCCACAAGCAGCCCCGCCUCUCUGCAGAUGUGGGGGAACGCUCCCUAGACGACGGAGACGGUCCUCCCUGCCUCCAGGUGAAGCCCUGCACUCCUGAGUUCUAUCAGACACACUACCAGCUGGCCUAUAGGUUGCAGUCUCGGCCCCGCGGGCUGGCGCUGGUGCUGAGCAAUGUGCACUUCACUGGCGAGAAGGACCUGGAAUUCCGCUCUGGAGGCGAUGUGGACCACAGCACUCUAGUGGCCCUCUUCAAGCUCUUGGGCUACCAAGUUCAUGUCCUGCUUGACCAGACUGCGCAGGAGAUGCAAGAGAAACUCCAGGAUUUUGCCCAGUUACCCACUCACCGUGUCACCGACUCCUGCAUAGUGGCGCUCCUCUCCCAUGGCGUGGAGGGCGGCGUGUACGGCGUGGAUGGCAAGCUGCUUCAGCUGCAGGAGGUGUUUCAGCUCUUCGACAAUGCCAACUGCCCAAGCCUGCAGAACAAACCGAAAAUGUUCUUCAUCCAGGCCUGCCGUGGAGGUGCUAUUGGAUCCCUUGGGCACCUCCUUCUGUUCACUGCUGCCACCGCCUCUCUUGCUCUAUGAAACAGAUCGCGGGGUCGACCAGCAAGAUGGAAAGAACCAUGCCCGGUCCCCCGAGUGUGAGGAGAGCGACGCUGGCAAAGAGGAGCUGCUGAAGAUGCGGCUGCCCACUCGCUCAGACAUGAUCUGCGGCUACGCCUGCCUCAGAGGGACCGCUGCCAUGCGCAACACCAAGCGGGGCUCCUGGUACAUCGAGGCCCUCACCCAGGUGUUCUCCGAGCGGGCCUGCGACAUGCACGUGGCUGACAUGCUGGUGAGGGUGAACGCGCUCAUCAAGGAGCGUGAAGGCUACGCGCCCGGCACCGAGUUCCACCGCUGCAAGGAGAUGUCCGAGUACUGCAGCACCCUGUGCCGCCGCCUCUAUCUCUUCCCGGGACAGCCUCCCGCGUGAUGCCACGUGGAGGCCGCUGGGCCGUGGGAGGCGUGAGACAGCCUCGUCUCUGCAGGAUGCACGGUUUCUGUUCCUCGCCCUCAGGGACUGGGAGUCUCCCAGGCUCGCCGCCUUUGAGAAGGGCCUGCAGGCCAGCCCUUCCUGAGCGACGCACUCUCCCUGCAGAGCCAGCUCUGGCUGGACUCUUUGCCAGGAGUGUUUGGUUGCCGCCGAGAAGCCUGGCAAAGGAGCUUUAAGAAAUGGUGUUUAUGGGGAGAGGGCGUGUGGGUGUCCGCAGUGUUUGUGUGCAGUUUCUGCCCCGAGGGCUUUUGUAGGAAGCGGUUUGAUCAUUGCUCUUAUUACAUGAGCUGCAGUGGCUCAGAGUCCUCUCCCGUCUUUGUUUUCGUAUCCCAGCCCUGUUUGCCCCAGAGCGGGAGUUUGGAAGGUGUCCUGAUUUAAUGUAGACAUUGUUCAUUUGCCUUCAAGAGGCCAAGCGGGACUGGGCACACACGGCUGCUGUGUGUGUGGCCCUCACCCUCAUUUCCAGAAGGUCACCCGUGUGGAAGGACACUCUUCUCACCUCCACCCUCGGCUCCUCUGGGCUCAUGGACCCCAGCCUUUCCGCAGAGGUCAGGGUCUGGGUCCUCGUCUCUGUUACUGGUCCGUCUUUGCCCACGGACGUUUCAAAGAUCUUCGCAUUGGUUCUUUCUCUGAGCUUUGUUCCUGCAGCGAGCCUUGCAGAGAGUCAGCAGGGGGCAGCUAAGAGCUCUGUGUGUGCUCAUACUUGGGAUCUGUCUCCUUAUCUUUGUUUUUCUUCCUAUGGAACAUCCCUGUCUAUAAAAGUAUCUAGUUGUUAUCUCCCUGCUUCCUGUUUCUCUACCUUUAUGGCAUCUCAUCCCGUUUAUUGCUGCCACCAAAUCUGUCUAAAAUACUGCUUCAUUGGGUCAUUUGGCUGCUCAAGGAUGUGAUGUACCUUGUUCCCUCUUUCUGCUUCAGUAUUAAAUCUCCUUGUGACUUUAUGUGGCCUCUUUUCCCAUUGCCAUUGACUGCAUUUCAAAGAGGCCGUUGCUGUACUGCUGUGUGCUCUCUCUUUACCCCUGGAAGCCAUCUUUAUCUGUGCUUGUAUGAAACUUUGAUGUUCUUUAAGGCCUUCUGUUUUUUGGUUUGUUUGUUUUGGGGGGGUUUUGGUGUGUUUUUGUUUUUGCCUUUUUAGGGCCACACCUGCAGCAUAUGGAAGUUUCCAGGCUAGGGGUCGAAUGGGAGCUACAGCUGCCAGCCUACACUACAGCCACAGCAGUGCAGAAUCUGAGCCAUGUCUGCGGCCUACGCCACAGCUCACGGCAACACCGGAUCCUUAACCCACUGAGUGAGGCCCGGAAUCAAGUGUGCAUUCUCCUGGAUACUAGUCAUAUUCGUUUCUGCUGAGCCACGUCGAGAACGCCCUAAGGCCUUCUGUUUUGUUCUUGCCCACUUCAGUCUGAUCUCUAUGGGACAGGUUUGGGUUUGGGUUGUUAAAUAUAAAUCUGAUCUUGUUACUCCCCUUCUGGGAACCCUUUGGUUUCUUGUUGCACCUGGAAUAAAAUCCAAACUCCUUCCUUUGGCCUGCAGGGUCCCCACCUGCCCCUUGGGGCUCUAAGUGCUGAUUUCCCAGCAAGCCACAGCCAACAGCAUCCUCAGCUUCUCAGACGUUCGGAGCCCUUUCCUGCCCUAGACCGUCACACACUCUUGGAGGGUCUGCUGAGCUCCGUUCCUCAGGGCUCUUGGCUCAGGUGGCGUCUCAAAUCUUUGAGUCUGAGCUUAAAUGCCACCUUCUUGCGGAGGCCUUCCCAGGCCAGUCUCUCUCUAAAUAAUCUUCUCCAGGGCUUAUUGCUGUGCUCUGUUUAAUCUCCUCGUUGCACUUAACACAACUUAAAAUCAUACAUUUGCCUGCUUCCCUUGCUCAUUUCUGUUCCCCUUGCUGAGCUGUAAGCUCCAUGAGGGCAGAAAGCUUGUCUCUUUUGUUCACUACUAUGUACCCAGUGCCUGGCACAGGGUCUUCAGUUUAUUGUAGGUCUUUAGUACCUGUUUGUGGAAGGCAGGAAGGAAGCAACCCUAGCUAGAAUCCUACUUUUUGGCAAAAUUUCCCUUUUGCCAGAAUACACAGCGAAGUAUAUGUACUCUGUUUCCCCGCGUUUGGUUUUAUCCACUGGUGUUAUUAGCUCCGGAAGACAGAAGUCACGUGUGAGGCAGCUCCCCCCACUCUCCCGUGUGCCGGGCCCAGUGCUCGGCCUCUCGUAGUUCAGGCGCUCAGUGAAAACUUGUUCUGUGAGCCAGGCGGUGCGGGGACUCGCGGCCAAGCCCUGCCCUCGGCGCGGUGUCAUACGGAAGUCUCGGGGUGAUAGGACCUUUCCACCUCCCACUGCCAGGAUUUUGUAUCGCCAUCUGGUGCCAAAUAAAUGCUCGUAUUUAUUCUCA